rnacentral:rRNA from 1 species
AUGAUGCUCAAGGUAACUAACAAUUCUCGCAUGGUAUUAUCCAACUCCGAAGGCCGUGAUAUUUGGAUGGCAGCAAACAACAUCACUACUGAGGCGGUAGGAGCUUAUGCAGUAUUACUCAACUCAGGGAACUUUAUCCUCCGGUCUUCGGACGACCAGGACAUAUGGUUGAGCUUCGAUAAUCCGACCGAUACCGUCCUUCCAAGUAUGAGAUUUGUGGUGAGCUACAAGGCACAAGUCAUCGCACGGCUUGUUGCUUGGAAGGGCCCAGAUGACCCAUCUUCUGGGGACUUCUCAUGCAGCGGCGACCCAAGAUCCCCAGACCUUCAGUUGGUAACAUUGAACAAGGCUAGGGUAUAUUGCCGUAUCAUUGUGUGGGACGGUGUGUCGGUGUCCGGCCGCACAUUUCUAACCAUCACUAGCUCCAUCUUGUACCAAACAGUUGUCAACUCUGGAGACGAGUUCAGUUUCAUGUUCACCCUCUCCAACAACUCACCAUUCGUGCGCCUCAUGCUUGACUACACUGGCAAGUUGAAGGCUCUAGCCUGGGACAACCACUCCAUGUCAUGGACAGUCAUCAAUGAGCUCCCCAAUAAUGCUUGUGAUCUGUAUGGCUCAUGUGGCCCGUUUGGCUAUUGUGACUUCACCGAGGCCAUUCCAACAUGUCAGUGCUUUGAUGGGUUUGAGCCUGUAGACAGUAGUAACUCUUUUAAAGGAUGUCAGAGAACACAGGCGCUUAAAUGCCGCAAGCAAAGCCAUUUCACGUCUUUUCCUGGAAUGAAGGUUCCUGACAUGUUCUUGCAUAUACGCAACAGAAACUUGGAUGACUGUGCAGCUGAGUGCAUCAACAAUUGCUCGUGUACAGCGUAUGCUUAUGCCGACUUGAGUAGCGGAGGUGCUAUGGCGGAUCCGUCAAGGUGCUUAGUUUGGUUAGGGGAGCUUAUUGAUGCUCAGAAGGCAACCGGCGGUGGCGAGAACCUAUACCUCCGACUUGCCGAUUCUCCUGUUCACAAGAAAACCAGUCCAGUAAAGAUUGUACUCCCCAUUAUAUCAUGCCUGCUACUACUGGCAUGCAUAGUCUUCGUCUGGAUGUACAAAUAUAGAGGCAAAUGGGCAAAGAAGAAAAACCAGAAGAAACUGAUGCUAGGAUACAUUAGCACAUCCAACUCACUAGAAGGCAAUAAUACGGAAUUUCCAUGUUUUAGCUAUGAAGACAUACUUUCAGCAACAAAUUUUUUCGCGGAUUCCAGCUUGCUUGGACAUGGAGGUUUUGGCAAAGUUUACAAGGGCACAUUGGAAGGUGGAAAUGAAGUUGCUGUCAAAAGGCUUAGUAAGAGCUCUGGACAAGGUAUAGUGGAGUUCAAAAAUGAAAUAGUUCUCAUUGCAAAACUGCAGCACAAGAACCUAGUCAGACUUCUCGGCUGUUGCAUCCAUGAAGAUGAGAAGUUAUUGAUCUACGAGUACUUAGCUAAUAAAAGUUUGGAUGCCUUUCUUUUUGAUUUUGGUAUGGCAAGAAUCUUUGGUGCAAACCAGAAUCAUGCUAACACAACCUGGGUCGUCGGAACAUAUGGUUAUAUGUCCCCUGAAUAUGCAAUGGGAGGUGCAUUUUCUGUGAAAUCGGACACUUAUAGCUUUGGGGUUCUUCUCUUGGAGAUUGUUAGUGGCAUGAAGAUUAGCUCACCUCAGCUCAACAUGGAAUUUUGUAGCCUUAUAUCUUAUGCUUGGAGAUUAUGGGAAGAUGGAAAAGCUACCGAACUGGUGGACUCCUUCAUUGUUGCGAGCUGCUCACUUCAUGAAAUUGUACGGUGCAUUCAUGUGGGACUUUUGUGUGUCCAAGACAAUCCAAAUGAUAGACCACUAAUGUCCUCGGUUAUGUUUAUGUUAGAGAAUGAAAGUGCAAUGCUUCCACCUCCAAAGCAUCCUGUAUACUUUGCUCUAGGUAAUUAUGAAGGUGAACAAGCCAGGGAGGGAAUGAGUUCCACAAAUGAAAUGAGUAUGACAAUGCUCAAGGGCUGUUAG